rnacentral:rRNA from 1 species
CUACGUGCCAGCAGCCGCGGUAAUACGUAGGUCCCGAGCGUUGUCCGGAAUUAUUGGGCGUAAAGCGCGCGCAGGCGGAUUGGUCAGUCUGUCUUAAAAGUUCGGGGCUUAACCCCGUGAUGGGAUGGAAACUGCCAAUCUAGAGUAUCGGAGAGGAAAGUGGAAUUCCUAGUGUAGCGGUGAAAUGCGUAGAUAUUAGGAAGAACACCAGUGGCGAAGGCGACUUUCUGGACGAAAACUGACGCUGAGGCGCGAAAGCCAGGGGAGCGAACGGGAUUAGAUACCCCGGUAGUCCUGGCCGUAAACGAUGGGUACUAGGUGUAGGAGGUAUCGACCCCUUCUGUGCCGGAGUUAACGCAAUAAGUACCCCGCCUGGGGAGUACGACCGCAAGGUUGAAACUCAAAGGAAUUGACGGGGGCCCGCACAAGCGGUGGAGUAUGUGGUUUAAUUCGACGCAACGCGAAGAACCUUACCAGGUCUUGACAU